GGCGAGGCGGCUAUCCGAAGGAGCAGCGCCCUCAUCUAACCCCGCUUUUCUUUUCCUCAGCAGGCAGCGAGGGGCGGGGGGGAGGGGGGAUCGUUUUCUAUAGUGUGUCGUACUGCAGUGCACGCUCUCCGCCUCGCCCCCCUCAUCGUCGGGCAGGCCGGCUGCUCAGUGCUGUGGUGCGUAGAGGGAACGGCCGUGCGGCGGCUCCCGGGAGACCGCGGCCCCGUGGAAGAGCAGCAGCAGCAGCACGACUCGCCUGCAUCAGCCGCGGCCGGGCCCGGGCCGUGCUCGUUUGUGUGCCCAGCUCAAGAGCGUUUCGGAAGAUUUACGUGGAUGGGUGCCAGACGAGGUUAAUGGGCAAAAAUCGUUUGCAGACAUUGGAACCUUAUCUUAGACUGGCCUAAACACGACCAGACUCAUGUAGUAUCAAAAUGUAUCAAAACAAGCAGCCAUCAUAAUCCUUAAGGAUAAAAUACAGGAAAAAAAAAAGCAAAUUACUAUAUCAUUUUAUAUAUUGCGGUUUAUACACAAUCAAUCAUGAAACUUAGUGAGAUUCUGCUGUGAGAUAGGCUUGGGAUCACACUGGAAGUUAUUUGCUUUCCAACACCUCUGAAGUUAAGUGCAGGGUGUCUCUAAGAGUGUAGAGAUAAUUAGAGGAGAUGACAUUUUGUAUGUUGGAAAUCACAUGGAAAUUAAAAAGUACUGUUAAAAUGACAAGCUUAGUGUAAGACUCAAAAACAUGCACGAGACAGAUUUCAAAUGUCUUACUGAAAAAAGCUCAAGUGGAUGUGCAUAAAGAAAAAGGGAUAUGUGAGUGAUUUAGAUGUAUUAGAGCAAAUGUAUAAUGUAUUUCUUGUGUUUCUUUAGUAUUUUAUAAUUUUCUGUGUGAGAAACCUUACACUCUUUCAGUCUCUUUCCUCAGCUGAUCAUACAGUAUAGCAUCACCAUGCUUAUUUUUAGCAUCACAUUAAUUUCUGUAGUAAUAAGGGAUUAUCUCACUGGAGGGAGGUGAAGUAGAAAGUUUCUCAUGAGACAUCUAUAGGAAAGACCAAAAAAAGUAUUGGCUUAAAACCUUCCUUUUGAUUUGACAUUUAUUCUUCCAGAAGGACUUGCCUGCUGAUUUUCUGGGCUUUAUGGAGACUCAUCAUUAAAAACAUCUUGGGCUGUUUUGGUUUGCCCUAGCUGGUGGGAGGAAUCUUUUAUUCAUUCUUGAGGAGUGUAUAACUUUCUGAAAUGUGACAUAUCCCAGGUCUGUAUGGGAUCUCUGUUAAUGUAUUGCUGUUAAAGAGGAUAUUUUUUCAAUUAUUUGUACAUUUUUCUACGAUGAAGUGUUGAUAUGUUCAUACUGCUAUUCUUUUGAUGUCAUAGACUGCACAUUUUUCUUUAAUGAUUCAGUAAAAUGCAUGUCUCCUUGA